GACGUAGGGUGCAAGCGUUGUCCGGAUUUACUGGGCGUAAAGCGCGCGUAGGCGGCUCGUUAAGUGUGAAGUGAAAUCCCUGGGCUCAACUCAGGAACUGCUUUACAUACUGGCGAGCUUGAGGGAUGCAGAGGUCUGUGGAAUUCCUGGUGUAACGGUGAAAUGUGUUGAUAUCAGGAGGAACACCCAUGGCGAAGGCAGCAGACUGGGCAUCGCCUGACGCUGAGGUGCGAAAGCGUGGGGAUCAAACAGG
rnacentral:rRNA from 1 species